GGGCGCAUAGCUCAGCGGUUAGAGCAUUCGCCUUACACGCGAAAGGUCCUCUGUUCGAAUCAGAGUGCGCCCA
rnacentral:tRNA from 4 species